CUCUUCUAAAAUUAUGUAGAUACACACAUAUGCCAGUGUUUUUCACCUUUUUUUGUAAUUUUUUUUUUUUUUUAACACAUUAAGUAGCAGUUUGUAUACUGCAAUGGAACUGCCGGGUCACAGCCUAAACCAAUAGUUGAGCUUGGCUAAACCAGGGAGCUCAGGUGCAAGCAAUACACCUGAGUGAUCAGAAGAGGUGGAGCCAGGACCCACCCCUCCUCACCCUCAUUUAAGGGUUAGCAGCCCUUAGGAAGAUUGCAUUUCUCUUGAGUUGUCACUGAUCAGCAGAAGGGCCCCAGGUAACAGAGGCACAGAGAGCCCAGCAGCAUGGACAUUCCUGUCUGAUCCUGGAAGCCAUCCAGCACGUUAAAAACUGCAUUUGAAAGACACAAAGCUAUGGUUGGUGUAAAGAUAUCUCUCUGCAUCUUCUUCCUGAAUGGAGCUGUGGAUGUCCUAUGUCCCAUUACUGGAAGUAUUCAAGGCCCGGCUGGAUGGAGUCCUAGGCAGCUUGGUCUGGAACUCAGCAGAUUGACUCCCUCAUAUGAAAUGCUGAGUGUGCUACACACCAAAGGCUCAGGGUGUUGUGUCGUGGCUUUUUCCUUUGCAGACUGUGUUCUUUUGAAACUGCUUUAUGGGUCCCAAAUAGAACAGUGCAUCCUGGUAUUACUUCAGCACGAAAAAAAGCCAACAUGUUUUUUCUGGAAUGUUCACUGAUGGAAAUGCUCUGAAUUGGAAAACGGAUGGAGAUCCCAUUUCCAAAGGGACUGGGCAACAGAGCUCCUUGGGCAGACACACCCAGAAAGGAGAGACGGGCAAACCUCAUUGCAACAGAAAGACCUGGAUGACACCAGCAACCUCACGGCACUACUGCAAUCAAUACAGUGUGAGUUAAUGGCCAACUCCACCAGAUGGAGAGGGUUUAGCAAGGGUUUGAAGACACCAAACCAAGAAAAUCCACAGCCAACCUGCCUCCUGACUGCACAGUGGAAACCCCCAGUGGAAAAACUACCACAGUAUCCUGCAUCCUGCCCUGCUGCAUGCAUGAACCCACUUCCAAAAUGCCACCAGCAAAGGGCUGGCACCACUCGCUCCUGGUUGCUAAACCUUCUAAAACCACUUUAAUUCAUGCUCAACUCCUGUGUAGCUUUGAGUUCUUUACAACUGGGAUCUCACUUGCUGCAUUUUCUUUUUUCUUCCUUUUGUGAUGUAUUCCAUUUCAAUAAAUAUGAAUAAUCUGAAA
ensembl:lncRNA